UAUUUAAAAAAUAAGGUCACUAUUUUCAACAUAUAAAAGUUAGCGAUCCGCAGAUCAAUUACACAAAAGCUUACAAAACUUCGAAAACAACGAUCGCUCAAAAUAUAAAAUCAAAAAAAUGUCGAAAAUAAUUUUAUUAUUAUCGAUUUUCGUAUUGAUUGGUGCUCAUGCUGGUGCAGAUGCAGCAUGUCCAGGCGGUUGGUGCCAUCCAUCAGCAGGUUAUGGCUGUUGUGAAGGAAAUGUAUGUAGUUCGUAUUGGUCUCAAGGUACGUGCAUAACUCAUCAGCAAUACAUAGGCUAAUCAUGCGGGGAAAAUAAUUAUAACAAUACAUUGAAAAUUUAAAGAUGUAUUUCUCCAAUUAAUAAAACUCUCGAUAUAAAAAAAA